rnacentral:misc_RNA from 1 species
CAUAGCGUCUCACCUAUCCCAUCAAAACUUGGGUAAGGAGAGGAUGAUGGCCUCCCAUGUCACACCUGGCGUGGAUGGCCUAAAAAAGGAGCCUUGGGUUACUAGAUGCCGUGGCGAUUGGUGGUAUAAACAUCUCGUCACGGAAUAAGUAGCUUAAUUGGCCUCGAAGAACCCUUUGUUAACCUUU